rnacentral:rRNA from 1 species
GUGCCAGCAGCCGCGGUAAUUCCAGCUCUCAAAGUGUAUAUCGUCAUUGCUGCGGUUAAAAAGCUCGUAGUUGGAUCUGCGUCUGAGGACCUGGUCCAUCCAUUGGAUGAGAACUGGGCUCCUAGACUAAUAUUGCGAGUUUUCCAUACGUUACCUUGAUCGGUUGCGUAUGGUGGCUAGCAAGUUUACCUUGAAAAAAUUAGAGUGCUCAAUGCGGGCUAAUGCCUGAAUACUCGUGCAUGGAAUAAUGGAAUAGGAUCUCGGUUCUAUUUUGUUGGUUUUCUGAUCUGAGAUAAUGGUUAAGAGGGACGGACGGGGGCAUUCGUAUCGCUGCGUGAGAGGUGAAAUUCUUGGACCGUAGCGAGACGUACGACUGCGAAAGCAUUUGCCAAGAAUGUCUUCAUUAAUCAAGAACGAAAGUCAGAGGUUCGAAGGCGAUCAGAUACCGCCCUAGUUCUGACCGUAAACGAUACCAACUAGCGUUCCGUUGGCGGUAAAUACGCCUUGACGGGCAGCUUCCCGGAAACGAAAGUUUUUCGGUUCCGGGGGAAGUAUGGUUGCAAAGCUGAAACUUAAAGAAAUUGACGGAAGGGCACCACCAGGAGUGGAGCCUGCGGCUUAAUUUGACUCAACACGGGAAAACUCACCUGGCCCGGACACCGUGAGGAUUGACAGAUUGAGAGCUCUUUCAUGAUUCGGUGGUUGGUGGUGCAUGGCCGUUCUUAGUAGGUGG